GAUGAACGCUGGCGGCGUGCCUAAUACAUGCAAGUCGAGCGAACGGACGAGAAGCUUGCUUUUCUGAUGUUAGCGGCGGACGUGUGAGUAACACGUGGAUAACCUACCUAUCAGACUGGGAUAACUUCGGGAAACCGGAGCUAAUACCGGAUAAUCUUUUGAACCGCAUUGUUCAAAAGUGAAAGACGGUCUUGCUGUCACUUAUCGCUGGAUACGAGCUGCAUUAGCUAGUUGUUAAGGUAACGGCUUACCAAGGCAACGAUGCAUAGCCGACCUGAGAGGGUGAUCGGCCACACGAGAACUGAGACACGGUCCAGACUCCUACGGGAGGCAGCAGUAGGGAAUCUUCCGCAAUGGGCGAAAGCCUGACGGAGCAACGCCGCGUGAGUGAUGAAGGUCUUCGGAUCGUAAAACUCUGUUAUUAGGGAAGAACAUAUGUGUAAGUAACUGUGCACAUCUUGACGGUACCUAAUCAGAAAGCCACGGCUAACUACGUG
rnacentral:rRNA from 1 species